UGGGGCCCAUCUCCAGAUCACAGAAGCUAAGCAGGGCUGGGCCUGGUUAGUACUUAAAUGGGAGACCGUUGGGAAGGUACCACAGUGGGGCCCCAG
rnacentral:rRNA from 1 species